GCCCUCGUAGCUCAGUUUGGAUUAGAGCACUUGCUUGCGGAGCAAGGGGUCGUGGGUUCAAGUCCCGCCGAGGGCG
rnacentral:tRNA from 1 species